ACAAGAGUUUGUCCAUAUAUCUUGAUCUCUAGAUAAGGCAUAUGAAAACUCUGUUUAUGUCAAUCUGCUACACAAACGUGUUUUCCCCAAGAUGACCUUCUCACUCGCAGAUAUAAACCAGGUGGGAAUCUAUGAGGCCCUCAGCACUAAACCAUUCAUCUUGCUGAGAAAAGAAUACUCCGAGAAUGUUCUACAGAUGAAGCGUGUCAUUCUCAUGUAUGAGAAAGUCUAUUUCUGUGUAUCCAACUGCUACUCAUCAUUCAAGAAGCUCCUAAAACAGAUCCGUGUUACUGCUCUGUUUCACAAAUUCAUUGCCAAGCCCUACAGAGGAAUGAACAAAAGGUAUAACAUCUUCCCCAAGCAAAGAUUUGUUGGCUGA
rnacentral:lncRNA from 1 species